GAUGAACGCUAGCUACAGGCUUAACACAUGCAAGUCGAGGGGCAGCAUGGUCUUAGCUUGCUAAGGCCGAUGGCGACCGGCGCACGGGUGAGUAACACGUAUCCAACCUGCCGUCUACUCUUGGACAGCCUUCUGAAAGGAAGAUUAAUACAAGAUGGCAUCAUGAGUCCGCAUGUUCACAUGAUUAAAGGUAUUCCGGUAGACGAUGGGGAUGCGUUCCAUUAGAUAGUAGGCGGGGUAACGGCCCACCUAGUCUUCGAUGGAUAGGGGUUCUGAGAGGAAGGUCCCCCCACAUUGGAACUGAGACACGGUCCAAACUCCUACGGGAGCAGCAGUGAGGAAUAUUGGUCAAUGGGCGAGAGCCUGAACCAGCCAAGUAGCGUGAAGGAUGACUGCCCUAUGGGUUGUAAACUUCUUUUAUAAGGGAAUAAAGUGAGUCUCGUGAGACUUUUUGCAUGUACCUUAUGAAUAAGGACCGGCU
rnacentral:rRNA from 1 species